rnacentral:rRNA from 1 species
GACGAACGCUGGCGGCGUGCUUAACACAUGCAAGUCGAACGGAAAGGCCCUGCUUUUGUGGGGUGCUCGAGUGGCGAACGGGUGAGUAACACGUGAGUAACCUGCCCUUGACUUUGGGAUAACUUCAGGAAACUGGGGCUAAUACCGGAUAGGAGCUCCUGCUGCAUGGUGGGGGUUGGAAAGUUUCGGCGGUUGGGGAUGGACUCGCGGCUUAUCAGCUUGUUGGUGGGGUAGUGGCUUACCAAGGCUUUGACGGGUAGCCGGCCUGAGAGGGUGACCGGCCACAUUGGGACUGAGAUACGGCCCAGACUCCUACGGGAGGCAGCAGUGGGGAAUAUUGCACAAUGGGCGGAAGCAUGAUGCAGCAACGCCGCGUGCGGGAUGACGGCAUUCGGGUUGUAAACCGCUUUCGCCUGUGAAGAAGAGUGAGUGACGGUAAUGGGUAAAGAAGCACCGGCUAACUACGUG